rnacentral:lncRNA from 1 species
CCAGGUUUAUCUUGCACUGUCAAGAGGUGUGUCAUUGCAGACAACUCGGAUUCUGGUAAAGCCAAAUAAAAUAUAGAUUCCACUGGUAAAAGCACCAAGAACAUUGUGUACGGAGAUAUCUUGUAGGGAUAACAUAGGUUUGUUAUCUAAACUUUGGAUUUUUGAUAUGGCCCCUAUAUGUACAAUAUUUUUUGGACUAACAUUAUAUAUGUUUAUAAUUGCAGCUUUUUGUCUGGUCGCACCUAUAGGCAGUAUAGAGGAUCUACUCUCAGUAAGCUCAUUUUUUCCGCUUCCAUUACUUUUUUUACCUUACUUUACACUGUGUAAUCUGUUUCAAUGCUAUGAUGCACUAUACGUAUGUUCUGCAUCAUUUUCCUUGUUGUAUCUACUGAGACCUAUUGUUGGAGCAUUCAUUUUAUUGGGAUUCUAUAUCUAAGUUGAAAACGUAAUAAGGUGAGGUUUAGAAUUUAAUUAAGCUGAUCAAAGUGUGCUUACUGGUCAGAAUGUGCUUAUUACUGGUUUCCUAUGUUAUUUUUAUGACUAUAAAAGUAAUUAUGUCCUAUGAGUCUUGGAAGGUGUGAAUUCGAAAUCAACUAUAUUUCUUGCUAUUCUGGUUUAGAUGCUUUUGAGGCCUCUGAUUCUACACUAUUCAGCCUCCUUGACGAAUAACAGUCGACUCUGAUAGUGUUUGAGUUUGUUUCUCCUAAAGCUAACUGACCAACAUCUGAACGACUUCGACUGCUGCAUACAAGUCCAGCUAAGCACGGUGCAAGUAUAACUCUGUCAGCGGAAAUGAGAUGUAUAUAAGACUUCCUUAUUCACUUCAUUUUCUAUAUAUUCACGGAGGGGGUGUCUCAGUUUGGUUUGCUGCAGGCUUUCAUCGAUUUGCUAUGUUGAUUCAUGUGUUCCUUUUAGUCAAAGGUGAGGUGCUCAGAUUUAGAAAAUUAGUUACUCUUAUUUUGUUCACUUCCUAACUUGCAAGAAAUAGGACCAGUCUCUGUAAUGUACAUAUUGUUUUGUUAUUCUCAUUUAUGAGCACGAAUAUGUCUACCAUCAAACAUAUUAGAGUUUACAGCCAAGAAAUACCUACUUAAGCAUUAACAUUGUAUAUAGACAGUAUACAUUAAAACGAUCAGUGUUGAUGCUAAUUUCAACUUUUUAUUUCUGGAGUUACAAAUUAACUUUAUUUGAAAUGUUAAUAUGUUUAUCUCAAUUGGAAACAGUCUUGCUGUACCAUUGAAGUUAUUUAAUAAGGGAUGCUUCUUUUAUGUUUUAGGAUAAGAUUUGCGACCAGCUUCAUGUUCUCAGAUAAUACUGGUGCAUAAUGCAUUCAGGUUGCAUUUAUCAGACUGCACCUUGUUAUCAGAUUGCCUGUACAAAGACUGAAUUUUGUUGGCUGGUACUUGCGGUGAGAAGCAGCAUGCACAUGUUGUGCAUUAGUUUGGUGGAUUUCCAUAGCUUAGCUUAUGUAUGAGAAAUAUAUUAUAUACAUUUUGUAUUGGUGGCGACUCUUUUCUUUGAAAGGUCAAAUCAUUUUAUUAUUAUUGAUUGAUCAGCAGCAAGGUAAAUAGACAAGAGUGAAUGGUUUCGGGAGAAAAGGCACAACGGCAAGUUGGCAAGGUUGUGGCUAGCUGCGUGUGGUGGAGAUGGUUUUGUAGUGUGUAGUGGGCAUGGGAAUCUGUUGCAUCCUAAAGUAGUCCUCAGUGUUUGUUUGGCAGCCUUUCUUAUGCAAGUUUUUAUAUAGGUUCUUAAAUUUGUAUAAAAUUUUCCUCAAUUAUGAAAUUUCUUGAUCCUAGAAAUAUAAUUGAUAACUACAUAAACAUGCAUUGCACCUAAUGACAAGCUAGCGCAGCCUAAUACCUCAAUUUUCAUUCUACUCCACCCAGUUUAAAGUAGUGCAUCAACACUUAGGCCUCCAAUGGUAGUGCCUCUCCACUUGUGCUAUUUUCUGUUGCUUCAUGCGCAGGGUUAUUACAGGUUCUUGAAGCUACUCAACCCUGUCCCCUAUAAAUUAUAGCGAGGAUUACUCCAGUAACAUGGUGAUGCCUGCUACAUUGACAAUGAAGAUGCACACAACAUUCUGGAUAUUGUAUGAGAACUAAUUAGGCUAUUAAGAAAUACUGAGAUAAUAAUGUUAUUUGAGUAUCUGACAAUGAUCACAAGUAUUAAGAAAUACUGAUAAAAUAAUGUUUUUAUGGCUCUUUGUGUAGGGUGCUACAUCAAAGCAUUUUAUUGAUUUGUAAUACUUUUUAG